GGGGUCUGUUUAUAAAAGAGCAUCAACUCGCUUAGGCCAUGACGUUCACCCAUCCCUUCCUCUGGAGCAACCGCUGCCCUGUGAAUAAGAGCCGAUGGAGGAGAUCUCAGCUUCGGUGGUGAUGACAGAACAUGAUUUCGGUUCUGCUCCUAAACCAGAGCUGACUGAACGAAGUGGACUGCUGGAUUUACUGGAGCCAGGAGAUGGCUGCAUGGCAGACAAGGGUUUCACCAUCGAGAAGCCACUAGCUGAUCGUGGGGCAACGCUGAUUAUACCACCCUUCAAGAUGACAGUUCACUGAAGAGGAUGCUCUGAAAACACAAGCAAUCGCUCGACUUCGAAUCCUCGUAGAAAGAGCAAUAGGCAGAGUCAAGGAAUACCGCAUCUGGGAACGCACUGUCCUUUCACCUUGUCUGCGACAGUCAAUCAGCUGUGGACCGUCUGCUGUGUGAUGACCAACUUCCAGGGACCACUUGAUUUAAAAGGCUACAUCCCUGUUGAAUAGUGUUUCUACUCAAACAUGUACCUAUAAAUAUUAAAUAUAAUAUAUAAAUAUUAAAACGAGAGGCACUGAACAUUUGGAGUGGUCCCUUCAUUUUUUCCAGAGCUGUAAUUUUGUACACUGAAAACAUUGUAUAUAUUGAAUGACAUGUAAUGUAAUUGAAUGAGAAGUCUUUCAUCUAUAAUCAAUUUUAAAGUCCAGUCAGUCCAUCCU
rnacentral:lncRNA from 1 species